AUGGAAACGUCCCAUGAGCGUAGGUCCGUUUCUUUAGAAAACGAUGACGAUGAAAAAACCCGGGAAUUGGAAGAUAGUUUCUUGCGCGAAUAUAAUCUUGAGCGGUUUAACGACCUUGAUUUUAUUAAUGGAAAAUACCAUACAGUUAUUCACUCGCGCAGUAAAAAUGCGCAUUAUGGGAUAUCGUCUCAGUCCAGACCGAAUACCUUGACCGUCGGAGAUUUUGAACAGCACUUCAUGAAGAACGGUCACACGCUCGCUGUCGACAUGACACGCUCGUAUGCGUUCGUGUGUGCCUUAGACAUAGAUUGUAUGGGUUGUAAAAAAAAAGGAGGCCUUCAGGUUGACAGUGACCUAUAUGAAACACAUCUUGAUGAGAAUACGGUAGAUUGCAUUCGUAUCGAGCUGAUUUCUAUUUUGAAAGGAGUCCUAAUGUUCGCAAAUGGACCUCAUUGGAAAGGGGAAGUCUCUGCAAUUCUGUUCAAACGCCUGACAGGUGUCAAAAAUUGUGGCUUUCACAUUUACACAAACGUUCAAUUAUCCGUACCUCUUUUUAUGCACAUUCGCUCGCUAUUAAUCACACGACUUCAUUUCAAAGACUCCCGCGCAAUGAUAGAUUCUCCUGAUUUAAUGCCGUUACCAUUUUCGGCCAAAAAGCCCGGCCAACCUUACGUGUACUAUUUACAGAGUGAUGAAACAAAGAGCAAGAUGAGCGUCGUAGAAAGUGGAAACUUUAUAGAUAUGUUUCAUUACUGCAAUGAACGAAAGUUAGAGGAACUCGAUGACAAUCGGACUGAAAUUGCAAUUAUUCGGAGCUUAUCGAGGAUCAAUCCAUCACACUCGCUUCAUGUGAAUCGUUAUUCGAAGUAUAUUGUAAGGAAAGUUAUGAUGAUAUUCCCGAAACUACCAAGUCUUGAAGGGAAGAAAGGAGAAAAUUCCGAAAAGGAAAGCAUGCUUGCGCUCGACAAAUAUCUGAAACAAUUAUUAGCCGCUGGAAAAGUGCUGCAAGAAAGAAAGCAAUCAUCCCGUCCCGAAGUUGCAGAAGAGAGUACAGUUCCGCCAUCGAAAAAAAUGAAAUCAAAAGAGGAAACCGGCAACGUUUCAUUCAUGACACAGUUUAUCAGUGCGCAGAAAGUGAACCAACUGUUGAUGACUGGAAAAUGCUAUUCGAGAGAAUCUUGGAAGGAAUUAAGUACGACGAAUCAGCAAACAAUCACGAUGAAGUUCUGAAGUCAUUGAGCAGCAAAUUAUUUAAAGAGGGUUCGUUUAAUACUAGGUUUGCAUUUACACGACAGUUCUAGCUAUUUGUGUGAUCAAAAGUUGGACAACUUACAAGAAAGUACUUUUAGCCAUUAAUGCCGGUUAUAAGAAAGGAUGUUUGACUGUGCACGAUUUCUUUUUGCCUUCUUUAUAUGUGCAUUUUAAACGCAAGGAUAAGAAGAUUUGUGAGAAGGAGUUCUUCCAGGAAGUUAUAUCUCACGUGUUUGGCAAAAAUCUCUCGAAAUUCAGUCGUUUAGUAAUCGACUUGGCUGCGAUUCUACACAUGUCAGCAAAUUUUGAUUCGCAAAUUGUCCGAAAAGUUCUGUUAGCAGUUUCUUUUGUUUUUGCCAAUUUCAAUGUGAUGAAGAAAAUCGUUGUUUUUUUUGGUAACUACGGUACCGGCAAAUCUUUAUUAUGCAACUUAAUACAAGAAAUGUGCUACCCCAGCGUAACUCGAGCGAAUGAAAUGACCGAUUUAAUACAACGAUCGAACGAGUCCGUGCGACAGACCGUUUUCAUAGUUAACGAGAUGAAUUAUUUGGAUCCAAAUGUGGUGAAAUCUAUUUCUGGGAAUGACCC
rnacentral:lncRNA from 1 species